rnacentral:rRNA from 1 species
UCGGGAAUUUUGGGCAAUGGGCGAAAGCCUGACCCAGCAACGCCGCGUGAAGGAUGAAGUAUUUCGGUAUGUAAACUUCGAAAGAAUAGGAAGAAUAAAUGACGGUACUAUUUAUAAGGUCCGGCUAACUACGUGCCAGCAGCCGCGGUAAUACGUAGGGACCAAGCGUUGUUCGGAUUUACUGGGCGUAAAGGGCGCGUAGGCGGCAAUUCAAGUCAUCUGUGAAAUCUCCGGGCUUAAUUCGGAACGGUCAGAUGAUACUGCUUUGCUAGAGUGCAGAAGGGGCAAUCGGAAUUCUUGGUGUAGCGGUGAAAUGCGUAGAUAUCAAGAGGAACACCUGAGGUGAAGACGGGUUGCUGGGCUGACACUGACGCUGAGGCGCGAAAGCGUGGGGAGCAAACAGGAUUAGAUACCCUAGUAGUCCCUGAGCGGGCUGGCAAGGCGCAU